AUUGAACGCUGGCGGCAUGCCUUACACAUGCAAGUCGAACGGCAGCACGGGUGCUUGCACCUGGUGGCGAGUGGCGAACGGGUGAGUAAUACAUCGGAACGUACCUUAUCGUGGGGGAUAACGCAGCGAAAGCUGUGCUAAUACCGCAUACGCCCUGAGGGGGAAAGCGGGGGAUCGCAAGACCUCGCGCGCUUAGAGCGGCCGAUGCCUGAUUAGCUUGUUGGGGGGGUAAAAGCCCACCAAGGCGACGAUCAGUAGCUGGUCUGAGAGGACGAUCAGCCACACUGGGACUGAGACACGGCCCAGACUCCUACGGGAGGCAGCAGUGGGGAAUUUUGGACAAUGGGGGCAACCCUGAUCCAGCAAUGCCGCGUGAGUGAAGAAGGCCUUCGGGUUGUAAAGCUCUUUUGUCAGGGAAGAAACACCGGCUCUAACACAGUCCGGGAAUGACGGUACCUGAAGAAUAAGCACCGGCUAACUACGUGCCAGCCGCCGCGGUAAGAC
rnacentral:rRNA from 1 species